AUGAAGGCCAUCACCAAAGCGUUGUGCUCCCGUUUGCAGCGCUACAUUCACUCUCUAGUUGACCCCGAUCAGACCGGGUUCCUCCCUGGCCGCCGCAUCUCUGAGAAUAUUGUCUACGCUGCUGACCUUCUUCGCGUUUGCCACACCCGGCGAGCUCCUACUGUGGUGUUUAAAAUCAAUUUCCGGAAGGCGUUCGACUCCGUCAACUGGGCCAGCCUCCUUGCCGUCCUCUCGGCUCAGGGUUUUGACUCUAAGUGGUGUGGUUGGAUUCACGCUAUUUUGUCUACCGGUCACACCUCGGUUCUCCUAAAUAAUGUUCCUGGGGACUGGAUCCUUUGUCGCAACGGCCUGCGUCAGGGAGACGCGCUCUCCCCC
rnacentral:rRNA from 1 species